ACAUAGUAGAAGGGUAUACACAAAAGAUAUAAUACUAGUUGACGCGUAGAUGGGCAAGAAGUGCAAAGCAUACGUUAAAAGACAAAUAUGCCCAGCCAAUGAGAAUUGAAGAUGGGACCAAAUACGGAUUGAUCCCUUGGUUUACGUCCGUAAAAUUUCGCGUGCCUGUUGGCAUUGGCAAUAUGGCAUAUUCAUUUUGUUUUGUUUUCCCUAACCUAGAUUUAAAAUUUUAUUUUAUUUGCUUUGCCUCCCACAAAAUAUAAACCUACGUAAAUGUGGUUAGUUUAUAUUUUGUGUUGCCUCCUGAAUUAUUUAAUUAUCGCCGAUAAUUAUUAUUUAUAUCGAUUUUGCCACUAUUUGAGUACUCACAGCAGUCAUAGUGCUUAGUGUUGACUCCGUUGUCUAUAAUAUUCGGUACUACGCUAAUUUUGAGUUCAAAAACACACAUUUUAGUGUUUGAUUUUCAAUUUCUAGUAAACUGUUCAGUGAUUUCUUUCCUCUAUAAUUUCUUUUUUAGCUGCUGCAGUGUCUGUUUACGAUAAUUAUCGCAACACUAAGCCAACAAAAAGCAAUCUGCGAAGUCUGCGAGAAGGAGUUUCAGGAAGGAAGUUUCACCCAGAAUUUUUUGGCCAGGCAUACAAGGAACACAUAUGUCCCAUGUGUACCAACAAUACCUAGAUAUUUUCUUAUUUUAAUAGUUUAAACAAACAUUUUUGUUUAAUAUCCACAAAAUAAAGAUAAAAGAAUCAUUUUUAAAUUUUAGGAAUUUCGAAGAAUAUACCUCUUAUAGAGAACAAAGUAAUAGGGAAGUCGAUUAUGCUUGUGAGAUCCAAAAUAAAUUUGAGAAUGGAGGAUAACAUAUAUUUUACAAUUGUAACCGGAGAAACAUCAGAGGAUUUAAUAGCUUAUGUAAAAUGAGAAACAUAAGUCUGGGGGAAGCAUAUGCAUCAAGGGAUAUGCCCCUCAAGAAUUUUAGUUAGGGUUUUAAAGAAUGGUUCAGUUGUGAUCGGAAGUGCUAGUUUAUAAUAUUAUAUAACCAUAUUUACAAUAUGAUUAUAACCAAGCUGGAUGGAUUUAGUUUCUUCUCUACGAUUUUAGUUUUAAGUUGUUGAUAUAAUAUAAUAUAAUACAUUUUAAUAUAGUAUAGAGUCCAUAGUCUAGUUUAUUUUAAAAAUUAUUAUAGUUUUAUAUAUUUUGAUUUUAAUUGUCGUCAAAUAAAAGUUUAAAUGUUAUUUA